AAUAAAUCAAGAUGAGAUGUAGAGAUCUGUGGUCAUGUUUGAGAUAUUUUGAACAAAGUUUUUAAUUGAUUUAGGACUAUUUUAUUUUUUUAGAGUAACUUGUUUUUGUAAAGAACUGAGCACUUUUACAGACUCGUGCACAAGAGAAAAUGCAAGAAAAGGUCCAGCAGCCCUAAUGAUGAACAGUAAAUUAACAAUAUUUAGUUUUAGGUUUUGUUUAUCUGUGCAUAUGCAAAAGAUUAAGCCCUAAGCAGAAAUGUAUCCAUACAUUUUAUGUACCCUGUUUUCCAGUGAUAACGUGUCAUUUUCAGUUGUUUUCUUAAGAUGAUGCUCAGGUCCACAACCUGGUACAAAUCAAUGAGGCGAGGCGAUGUGCUUGCUGCAUGGGGUAGCGAGCUGUAUGUGACAUCAUUUCUCACAAAGGGGAAACAACUAAGAGGUCUUUCCAGAUGAAAGAAAAAGAAGUCCAACGUGUGAGCGGCAACUUCUUAAGAGGAAAAUUUAAUCCCAAAGCUGCUGUUUGCCUCAAGAUUUCACCCGUGUGGUCAGUUAGGCCAGAUGUCGGAUAAGUGAAGAAGUUAAGUGGGACUUAAUUUGAAUGCUGAAAUGUGACAGAAUGAAUAUUUCUAUUGUCAUUUUAUACUCUUAAAUAUACAGCUUUGACAUCUGUAAUUAAGUUCCCCUGAGAGCCUGUAUAACUCUCCAUCUUCACAGACCUGAACUCAAACUUAAAGUAUUUUUACCUAAGCAGAAUGUUUCAGCAGAUGGCGCUAUAGUGCAACAGAAAGGUCUAAAACUGUUCCUACAACUACUUAACCAUCUACCAAACCUCAAAAAGUCAAAGUGACAACACAUAUCUAUGAUAUAAAACUGUCCCUGCACUGUUGUUUUGUUUUGUUUUUUUCCAGCCGAGAAUGUGUAUUAUUUCUCAAGUAUUUCCUCCAUGUGUUCAUCAGCUGACUGACACACCAUCCACUUUCUUAUAUUCAAAACAGCCCACCAGCAUAUUUCCCAUGCCUCCUCGGAGCCAUGCAGAGCUCCAGGGAGAGAUGAGGGCUACGUGGGACGUGUCUCCUCACGUCGCCCCCUCUCCCAGUGCCAGCACUACUGGCUCUAAUCCUCCAUGGCGUACCUGGCAGAUCUCUCUGGCGACACCGGCUCUGAGCGCUGCUGGCGUUGUUGCAGCCUGGCCCGGCCCUGCACACCAGCAUCCCCUCUAAUCCUCCCCGCCUGCACCGCCCCGAAGGCCAGCAGCCUGCAGGGAAGUAGGGCAGCGGAGGUGAAGCAGAAAGAGUCAGUCAAUCUCAGUUGUAACUAAACACAGAGAGUUCCUUGGAUUUGUUGCUGUUGGACUCUGUAACCCCCCCCUCCGGUCCUUCCUCCAGCCUCCUCCUCCUCCUCUAUGCAUUGUCACUUUCCCCACGAUGUCAAAGGUCAGGUGUGGGAGAGGGGACUGGGGUCUGAAUGGAGAGCCUGGGGACAGUCUCCGUUAGUGAGGGAUUAAGUUGCUGCUGUGUGGAGAAAGGUGGAGGCAUCGCAGAGUCACACAGACACUCAUCAAUGAGGAUAUUUUGUUAAGAGAAAGAAAAACUCUCACAAAGUCAUGAUAAGCUCCUGGAAACAACAACUGACAACACAUGAACCGGUGAACCCGUAAGUAUUUGUGUCACUUAAGGACAUUUCAUCGACGACCCAGCAGAAGCUGAAACAUCCACUCUUCCCUUUGAGGUUCAACUGAAAUAACUACAAUAAUGUGCAGCAAAUUAUGCGGUGAAUACUGCAAUUCAUGUCAUAUUUUCACUCCAAAUAUUGAUCCCGACAUGAUGAAAGGAACAACUGAGCUUCAGUGUUUGUGCAAAGUCUGAAGGGUCUUUAUCAUUUAAAAAAAAAGUUCAGUCUUAGUGUGUGUGCUUUGGAGGCUUCUAGUUUCAACCUCACUUUAUUGUUAAUGAUAAUACUUCCAAACAAGUUGUGAUGGUACAAAAAAAUGCUCUAACAUACAGGAGCUUUCUUAAUAUUUAAAGUGACAGCCAAGAAACUUCAAAAAUACUGCUCAGUGAAGGUCGAGCGUGCAUGUGCACUUAAAACCAAAACACAUUUUCAUUGCUUAUUAUUGAAUACGUUCUGUUUCCAGAUUGAUGGUGAGCCUGAGAAUAGUAGAGGAGUAGAAGUUAGGGGGACACCUCAGUUCUUACCAUUUCAUGUCAUUCAAUGAAACCUUUAUUGCCCUGAGGGGAAUCUGUCUUCAACCAAGAGCAUAAAAAACACAAAACAACCAUACAGGAAAAAAAAUAUAAACAGGAAUCUCAUAUCAUCAGUCCAACAUUUUCCUGCUGCCAUCUUUUUAUUCCAUCCUGCUUGUAACUUCUUCUUGGGCCAAUUACCUUUAGUUCACAUUGCCCUCCUUUAUGUAACAUGCGCCAUUAUGACGAGUCCUGCAGUGGUGACUCAAAGAGGUUGAAUUAGCAGGCGACUAGUUUGGCACCAGUGAUUUAAUAAUUGUAUCACACAAGUCAGGACUACGAUAUAUUGCUGUAUUGAUAUUUUAAACCUCCCUAGUCAGAACAGAUCUGUCGUGAACUACAGGAGCUUGGACAAAGUGGUCGUCCUGCCAGAUCGCUACUUCAGCAUAUUGCAGAAUUACCUGCGCAGAGAUGUGAAGAAUGGUUAUCGUUAGCAGGUUCUGUUGGGCCCUGGCCUCCAGAGCGUUGUUCCACACAUACAGAGUGACACUGUUGAGUAAGUUUGUCCUUUACCCUGACCCUCACAACUGCGGCAACUUGUAAAGCAGUCGGUCCAGAGAUCAGAAACAGAGAGCACAAAUCAUUAUUUCUACUUCUAAAAUAUGAACAUCAAACGCAGCGUUCCUUCAAAGGCCUCACAAACCGCCAAGAUGAAAGCUGCUGUUUGUGGUGGCAUCUUUUCAAAACGAUUGUCUUUGGUCAGUUACCGUGACAUCUCGUCCAUCUCCUCCGUCCCCAGGCCUUAAAAAUCCAAAUUCCUGUUAAAGAAUGUGGCGAGUGCGUUUAAUGAAGCCAAGCCGUGGCUCCGCUAAUGAGUCAAGUCCAGUAAUGGCCGGAAUCCCUCGUCAGACAAAGCAGCCAAAUACCUGAUGGCUACCAAUCAUGUUCUCUUCUUCAUGGGAAAAAAUGCACGCAGUUUAUUUUGCUGUCUUUCAUGUCCCCAAUUAAGAGGGACAGUUGAGGGCAGAUUGCUCCAAUGCAGAUGGAGUUAAGGUGAAACACAGGCCAUACCGUCAUUAAAGAUGAAUCAUUUAAUUGACUUUUCAUAAAGACGGAUGAGUGUUUAUGAUUAACAGCAAAUGAAACAAUGAAAAGUUCACGGUAAAGGCUUACAUGGGACGAGUAUUGACAACCACAAACCCUAUAUUAGAAAUGGACGUGGCCUCUUUACUGAAGUGAAGCUGAUGUCAGAUUUACAACUUAAAUUACUAACAAGAAAAAUCAUAUCAGAGAAAAAAGAGGCCUCUUGAAAUGCAGCCUGAAUUGUUGAUUUUAAUUGAAGUCCUGCCUCUUUUAAUGGCCUGAGGAAGAUCUUGUAGAUUGUAACGUUGCCCUGUCUAAAUAAAAUUGGGUCAAAAAUAAAAUUAAAUUUUGGGGUGGCCAAUCCAUUUCAAAGUGGGCCCAUGCCACCCCUCUGGACACGCCCCUGGUCCCAGAGGCCUGUAGAGAGAAACUGUAACGACCAAAUGCCCACUCUGGGAUUAAUAGAGUAUUUCUGAUUCUGAUUCUGAUUCUUAUUCUGAUUUUUCUUGAAACCAGAAGAGCUGUUAUGUGCAGAAGAUAUUAUCUUAUUUGAUGUCUGAGAUGCUAUUUCUCUCCACAUGCAGGAGCAGCAACACGUCCAUGAUGAGUGCGUCCACAUGCCACAGAGAUACCAAUUAGAAAUGCUGACGCAGCAGUGACGCUCGGGGCAGAAAAUGUCUUUUGAUCAUCGCAACAAAAGGCCAAAUGACUUGUGUAAACAGAGCAGAUAUCUUAGUCUGCAUGUGCAUGAAAAGAACUAUUAUAAACUGUUUAUUUGUUGCUCCAACUUCACAGGAGUCGAGCGCUAUUUCUACUGACACAAAGAUAGAAAACAGAAUUACCUGAAAGUGAUGGUGUGGUUAUGACAUAAGAAAUGACAAACGAUGUCACAAUAAACGAACAUUUUGCUCAA